AUUGAACGCUGGGGGCAGGCCUAACACAUGCAAGUCGAGCGGAUGAAGGGAGCUUGCUCCUGGAUUCAGCGGCGGACGGGUGAGUAAUGCCUAGGAAUCUGCCUGGUAGUGGGGGAUAACGUCCGGAAACGGGCGCUAAUACCGCAUACGUCCUGAGGGAGAAAGUGGGGGAUCUUCGGACCUCACGCUAUCAGAUGAGCCUAGGUCGGAUUAGCUAGUUGGUGGGGUAAAGGCCUACCAAGGCGACGAUCCGUAACUGGCCUGAGAGGAUGAUCAGUCACACUGGAACUGAGACACGGUCCAGACUCCUACGGGAGGCAGCAGUGGGGAAUAUUGGACAAUGGGCGAAAGCCUGAUCCAGCCAUGCCGCGUGUGUGAAGAAGGUCUUCGGAUUGUAAAGCACUUUAAGUUGGGAGGAAGAGCAGUAAGUUAAUACCUUGCUGUUUUGACGUUACCAACAGAAUAAGCACCGGCUAACUUCGUG
rnacentral:rRNA from 1 species